rnacentral:lncRNA from 1 species
UGUGAGGAUGUUCUGGUUUGCUGUGGUCUCAUAGAGAUCUCACAGGCUCCAGCUGAAGCCAUUGAACUCUUUCCACUGGAACCUACUGAGCUUAACCUCUCCCACCUGCCAGCCCUGGGCCCAACAGAGACAUUCCUGGAGGUAAAAAAGCAGCCAAGAAGUGGUGAGAGGGCACUAGGACUCUGUUCCCAGGUGUUCAUUGGGCCAGAUCCUGACUGGUCAAACAGAAGAAAUGAGAAUGACUGACUGUUUCAGUCCAUUUCCCAGAAUAAAUCCUUGCUGUGAAUAAAUCCUUCCCGUGC